rnacentral:rRNA from 1 species
AGAGUUUGAUCCUGGCUCAGAUUGAACGCUGGCGGCAUGCUUUACACAUGCAAGUCGAACGGCAGCACGGGGGCAACCCUGGUGGCGAGUGGCGAACGGGUGAGUAAUGCAUCGGAACGUAUCUUCGAGUGGGGGAUAACGCACCGAAAGGUGUGCUAAUACCGCAUAAUCUCCAUGGAGAAAAGCAGGGGAUCGCAAGA